UACGGAGGGAGCUAGCGUUGUUCGGAAUUACUGGGCGUAAAGCGCACGUAGGCGGCUUUGUAAGUUAGAGGUGAAAGCCCGGAGCUCAACUCCGGAAUUGCCUUUAAGACUGCAUCGCUCGAAUCCAGGAGAGGUGAGUGGAAUUCCGAGUGUAGAGGUGAAAUUCGUAGAUAUCAGGAAGAACACCAAUGGCGAAAGCAGCUCUCUGGGACGGUACUGACGCUGAGACGCGAAAGCGUGGGGAGCGAACAGG
rnacentral:rRNA from 1 species